GCUGCGGAGCCACGGCCGCCAUUAGGGACUGAAAGCACAACUGUGAAGAUGUGCAAAGUGGUCGAAACGCAAGCAGUGUUCUGCAAUAAAUUGCAAAAAUUAUCAGUCCGCCAGAAGCGAUUUGGCAUUUCAUCGGUUUCCAAAGGAUGCACAAAGGUGUGCCAGGUGGGUCCAGAAUCUAAGGAAUGCAUCCCUUCAUGGCAUACCUUUGGAUCAGCUGCAUCGGACCUACAGGGUGUGCAGUGCCCAUUUCCACAGCAGCCAGUUCAAAAGACCAUCUGAUGUCCAUGGUGGGCUGAACUGGGAUGCUGUGCCCACAAGAAUACAGGCCCCUAACCCACCUCCACCCACUAGAUGUCAAGAGGAAGCGUAAACCUCCGAAGACACGCCAGGAGUUGCCACGUAAAAAACGCAAGCAGAGUCAAGUUCCUCCUCCCUCCAAAGACCAGCAUACCGUGGAAGCUGUAGCGGGGCCUUCAUCAAUCAGUUAUUGUUCAUUUUUAGAAAUCUAUACAAAACUUGAACUGGCUAGUAGCUGACUAAUGCUUCCAUUCUAUGUCAGUGCCUCUUCUCUCACAAAAAGAAAAAAAUACAACAAAACUUAAAUGCUCACACAAUAGAUGGUGGUGUCUGAUUAAUUACUGAGAUCUUAUGGCUCCAUUUUAGUACUGUUUAUAGUUCAUGUGUGCACUUGCUAGAUUGCACAUCUUUUUUGUACCUUUCCGCCUGUAAUAGGACAUUCACAGAUUGUUUUUGUUCUUGCCAUUGAAACGUUCACUGUGUGCACUUUCAAUGAAGAUGUUGAAAAAACUUGUUAAUAUUUUUGUGAUAUUCUAUGUAAAAGAUUAACUCAUAAUUUUAUUUAUUUAUUUUUCCAAAUCAUAUAUGGUGAUGUUCAAUCAUUUCAAAAUCAACAUUUGAAUAAAUGUUAUUACUGUGUGUCUGCCUAUAUAUUAUUUCAUGAAUUUCUGUUAUUCAUAUAACAAGGAAAAUGCAUAAUAGAACAUAAAUAUUGGUAGAUUAAAGGUUUACAGUAAUUUUAUAAUUGUAUCUUUGCAAACCGUAAGUGGUAGGCUAAUGAAGCCGAUUCGGUGGGGGACAUACCCUUAUGAAAAAGUACUAUAGGAAUCUUAUAGUAUUUUGGGACAAAAUAGUAUAGUAAUCUUAUAGGAAUACUAUAGUAAUUUGGGACAUACUAUAGAAGUACGAUAAGACUACUAUAGAAAUACUAUAGCAGC